rnacentral:lncRNA from 1 species
AAUAACAAAAAAACGUCCUCUAGAAAAAGAACCGUAAGUAAAAAAGAUUGUAAAAAAUAUAAAUAUACGUAUAUAUAUUUACAUAUGUGUUUUUAAAUAGACAAAAGUUAUAUUUAUAUAUAUGUGCAUAUAUAUUUUUUUUUUAAGUUAAUAACUAUUCCUGAGUUCAAAAAAUUAAAAAAAAAAAAUGAGCUAAAUAUAUUUUCAAGUCCAAAUAAAAUAAAUGAAGAGUUAAAUAAAGAACAUAAUUUUUCUGAUUCUGUUCUAAGUUCUUAUAAAUUAUUUUUAACUGAAAAGCAAUAUGAAAAUAAAAUAGAAAAAGAACAGGUAUGCCUUUUUCUUAUAACUUUCAUUUUUCUUUUUUUUUUGCAUGAUAUCUUACCUAAAUUUAUAACUACAUAUGUACUUUAUAUAUAUAUAUUGACAUACUAUAAAACGUCCAUAAACACGGUUACAUAUAAAAAUACAGCAAACAAAUAAACAAUACUAAAUAAUUUUUUCUUUUGCUUGUAAUAUCAUUUUUUUUACAGAUAAAUGAUGAUAUUUAUUCUGACAUACAAAGUAAUUAUAUAUAUAUAUUUUUUUUUUUUUACAUCAAGUGCAGUCUUAUAAGUCUAAAUUUAAAUGGUUUUUAUUAUUUAUACCAUGUAUAGCUUGUUUAUUCUACUUUAUUUAAUUUAUAUAUAUAGAUAUAUCAAAAGAAAAGUCCGAUAUAGAAACAGAACUAAAUCUAAAUAAAAUUGACAGUGUACCUUUGAUAAACUCUAAAUCAAAUAAGAGCUUUAUUGACAGCCAUAAAAAGGCGUUAGAAAAUUUCCAAAAGGAUGAUGCAAAUUUUGAAUGUACAUAUAAUUGUAAAAGCGAAAAAGGACAAAAAAAUUCAAACUUAAGUACAAAAAUUAAUGAUUUAAAUAUUCAAGAAUGUCAACUGGUGAGCACAUUGCUUAAUGCCUAAUACGGAAUCGUUACAUGGAAAUUUCCCUCCUCUCUUUUAUAAACUAAGUUGUGAUCAUGUUUUUCAUUUAAUGUGCAUCUAUGAAACUGUUAUACGAAGGGAAUGUAGAAAGACUUGUUGUAUUUGUCAUACUGAGUUGAGUGAAGAAGAUAAAAAUGAAAUUGUAAGUAAAGUUAAAUGGGAGAAAAAAGAAAAUGAAAAAAAAAGCAAACUUUUAUUUAAAGUAAUGAAGUUACAAGCCGAAAAGAAAGAUUAAAAAUAAACAAAUAAUUAAAUAAGAAACA